UACAGCUACGUUAUCUAUAUCACGGUUGGGACACUUGUGUUGUGAUAUAGAUUAGAAUACAAAACUAACAAAACUAAGUUCUAUAAGAUGUUUCUUGUCCGUUGGUUCACCUUUAAAAAAAAUGUAACGGAACGCUCGUGCUAUUUUUUUU
rnacentral:telomerase_RNA from 1 species